AAGGGGGCUUCGGCUCCCGCUAUCGGAUGAGCCUAUGUCGGAUUAGCUAGUUGGUGAGGUAACGGCUCACCAAGGCCACGAUCCGUAGCUGGUCUGAGAGGAUGAUCAGCCACAUCGGGACUGAGACACGGCCCGAACUCCUACGGGAGGCAGCAGUGGGGAAUAUUGGACAAUGGGGGGAACCCUGAUCCAGCCAUGCCGCGUGUGUGAAGAAGGCCCUCGGGUUGUAAAGCACUUUCAGCGAGGAAGAACGCCUAGCGGUUAAUACCCGCUAGGAAAGACAUCACUCGCAGAAGAAGCACCGGCUAACUCCGUGCCAGCAGCCGCGGUAAUACGGAGGGUGCAAGCGUUAAUCGGAAUUACUGGGCGUAAAGCGCGCGUAGGUGGCUUGAUAAGCCGGUUGUGAAAGCCCCGGGCUCAACCUGGGAACGGCAUCCGGAACUGUCAAGCUAGAGUGCAGGAGAGGAAGGUAGAAUUCCCGGUGUAGCGGUGAAAUGCGUAGAGAUCGGGAGGAAUACCA
rnacentral:rRNA from 1 species